rnacentral:ncRNA from 2 species
UCCUUAUCAAGAGAGGUUUAGGGACUGGCCCGUUGACACCUCAGCAACCAGCAUGAAAUUGUAUGGUGCUAAAUCCAGAAAAGAUAAGAA